CCGCCCCAAGAUGAGAUCUCCCUUAAGGGCCGUGGGAGACUACCACGUCGAUAGGCCGCAGGUGUAAAGUCAGAAAUGGCACAGCCGAGCGGUACUAAUUGCCCGAGCGCGUUCUCAA
rnacentral:rRNA from 1 species